rnacentral:rRNA from 1 species
GAUCCUGGCUCAGAUUGAACGCUGGCGGCAGGCUUAACACAUGCAAGUCGAACGGUAACAUAAAGAAGCUUGCUUCUUUGAUGACGAGUGGCGGACGGGUGAGUAAUGCUUGGGAAUCUAGCUUAUGUAGGGGGAUAACUAUGGGAAACUGUAGCUAAUACCGCGUAGAAUCGAGAGAUGAAAGUGUGGGACCUUCGGGCCACAUGCCAUAGGAUGAGCCCAAGUGGGAUUAGGUAG